rnacentral:rRNA from 1 species
CGAGAUGGUGACAUGGAGCAAAUCCCAAAAAUAACGUCCCAGUUCGGAUUGCAGCCUGCAACUCGGCUGCAUGAAGCUGGAAUCGCUAGUAAUCGCGGAUCAGAAUGCCGCGGUGAAUACGUUCCCGGGUCUUGUACACACCGCCCGUCACACCAUGGGAGUAGGUAAUGCCCGAAGUCGGUGACCUAACCGGAAGGAAGGAGCCGCCGAAGGCAGGACUUAUAACUGGGGUGAAGUCGUAACAAGGUAUC